rnacentral:rRNA from 1 species
AUUGAACGCUGGCGGCAGGCUUAACACAUGCAAGUCGAGCGGGGUGAUGGUGCUUGCACUAUCACUUAGCGGCGGACGGGUGAGUAAUGCUUAGGAAUCUGCCUAUUAGUGGGGGACAACAUCUCGAAAGGGAUGCUAAUACCGCAUACGUCCUACGGGAGAAAGCAGGGGAUCACUUGUGACCUUGCGCUAAUAGAUGAGCCUAAGUCGGAUUAGCUAGUUGGUGGGGUAAAGGCCUACCAAGGCGACGAUCUGUAGCGGGUCUGAGAGGAUGAUCCGCCAAACUGGGACUGAGGCACGGCCCAGACGCCUACGGGAGGCAGCAGUGGGGAAUAUUGGACAAUGGGGGGAACCCUGAUCCAGCCAUGCCGCGUGUGUGAAGAAGGCCUUAUGGUUGUAAAGCACUUUAAGCGAGGAGGAGGCUCUUUUGGUUAAUACCCAAGAUGAGUGGACGUUACUCGCAGAAUACGCACCGGCUAACUCUGUGCCAGCCGCCGCCGUAA